GACGAACGCUGGCGGCGUGCUUAACACAUGCAAGUCGAACGGUAAGGCCCUUCGGGGUACACGAGUGGCGAAUGGGUGAGUAGCACGUGGGUGAUCUGCCCUGCACUUCGGGAUAAGCCUGGGAAACUGGGUCUAAUACCGGAUAGGACUUCUGGCUUCAUGGUUGGGGGUGGAAAGCUUUUGCGGUGUGGGAUGGGCCCGCGGCCUAUCAGCUUGUUGGUGGGGUAAUGGCCUACCAAGGCGACGACGGGUAGCCGGCCUGAGAGGGUGACCGGUCACACUGGGACUGAGAUACGGCCCAGACUCCUACGGGAGGCAGCAGUGGGGAAUAUUGCACAAUGGGCGCAAGCCUGAUGCAGCGACGCCGCGUGAGGGAUGACGGCCUUCGGGUUGUAAACCUCUUUCAGCUAUGACGAAGCGCAAGUGACGGUAGUAGCAGAAGAAGGACCGGCCAACUACGUGCCAGCCGCCGCGGUAA
rnacentral:rRNA from 1 species